rnacentral:rRNA from 1 species
UAGGGAAUCUUCGGCAAUGGACGAAAGUCUGACCGAGCAACGCCGCGUGAGUGAGAAGGUUUUCGGAUCGUAAAACUCUGUUGGUAGAGAAGAACGUUGGUGAGAGUGGAAAGCUCAUCAAGUGACGGUAACUACCCAGAAAGGGACGGCUAACUACGUGCCAC